GAAUACAUUAGCAUGGGAUAAUGGAAUAGGACCCUGUCCUCCUAUUUUCAGUUGGUUUUGGCAGCGCGAGGACUAGGGUAAUGAUUAAUAGGGAUAGUUGGGGGCAUUAAUAUUUAAUUGUCAGAGGUGAAAUUCUUGGAUUUAUGAAAGAUUAACUUCUGCGAAAGCAUCUGCCAAGGAUGUUUUCAUUAAUCAAGAACGAAAGUUAGGGGAUCGAAGACGAUCAGAUACCGUCGUAGUCUUAACCAUAAACGAUGCCGACCAGCGAUUAGGAGACGUUGAAUACAAAACACCACCAUCGGCGCGGUCGUCCUUGGCGUCUGUCCCUUUCAACGGGGGCAGGCGCGAGGGCGGUUUAGCCCGGUGGCACCGGUGAAUGACUCCCCUAGCAGCUUGUGAGAAA
rnacentral:rRNA from 1 species